rnacentral:rRNA from 1 species
UACGUAGGGGGCGAGCGUUGUCCGGAAUCAUUGGGCGUAAAGCGCGUGUAGGCGGCCCGGUAAGUCCGCUGUGAAAGUCCAGGGCUCAACCCUGGGAUGCCGGUGGAUACUGUCGGGCUCGAGUCCGGAAGAGGCGAGUGGAAUUCCCGGUGUAGCGGUGAAAUGCGCAGAUAUCGGGAAGAACACCCGUGGCGAAGGCGGUUCUCUGGGACGGUACUGACGCUGAGACGCGAAAGCGUGGGGAGCGAACAGG